UGGGAAGAAGAAAAGUGUGCCUGUUGGGUUU
rnacentral:piRNA from 1 species